rnacentral:rRNA from 1 species
CAAUAGCGUAUAUUUAAGUUGCUGCAGUUAAAAAGCUCGUAGUUGGAUUUCGGGUGGGAAUGGCCGGUCCGCCGUUUCGGUGUGCACUUGCUACGCCCACCUUGCUGCCGGGGACGUGCUCUUGAGUUCACGCUCGGGACACGGAGUCGGCGAGGUUACUUUGAGUAAAUUAGAGUGUUCAAAGCAGGCCUACGCUCUGAAUACAUUAGCAUGGAAUAACACGAUAGGACUCUGGCCUAUCUUGUUGGUCUGUAGGACCGGAGUAAUGAUUAAGAGGGACAGUCGGGGGCGUUCGUAUUUCAUUGUCAGAGGUGAAAUUCUUGGAUUUAUGAAAGACGAACUACUGCGAAAGCAUUUGCCAAGGAUGUUUUCAUUAA